UGAAGUCCAGUGGCCUCCUCCUUCUGGCGCUUCUUGUCCUGGGAACCCUGGCACCGUGGGCCGUGGAAGCUGCCAGAGAUGGGACGAAGCCUGGCCGGUGUCCAAAAAUAAUGGCACGCUGCAAGAUGCUGAACCCUCCCAACCACUGUGAGACAGAUGGCAAUUGUACGGACCACUUCAAGUGCUGCGAGGGCAUGUGUGGGAAAGCCUGCUUUGCCCCUGUGUAGGAAUUCUUACAAAGGAUAAAUUUAGCCAUGAACUUCAUUUACGUUGAAGCUCCAACAUGAUUUCCCCUCACAUCUGAUGCUGCCACUGAACGUAACUUUGGGUUACGUCCUCUGUGUUCUGGGAAUUCCCUCUCCCCACCCAGACUCCCAUGAUGACACACUGCAAGGUGAAGACCAGGUUCUGCCACCGGUGUCUCCUUUGGGGAAAGGCUUGACAUACAGUUGCUUUCAGGAAAUGCCUGUUGUUUGUUGAAUGAAUAAAUGAUU